GGUAGCUAGGGGAUGUGGGACCGGAGGUCGGUUAGGUGAUCCCGGUCAACUUUUUUGUGUAAACGGAAAUUUUUAUUAAUAUCAAUUGGUCUUAUUUCAAAUUUAUCUAUCACAUAUACCAUUUAUAAAAAAAAAUAUCAUUUUACACUGAGGUGUCAAUCCAAUUGGCGCCUCCUCUCAAGUAAUACACAUGGGCGCCAAU
rnacentral:lncRNA from 1 species